rnacentral:RNase_P_RNA from 1 species
GCGGAUGGUUGGGUGACUGCGUGUUAAUCACGAGGAAAGUCCGGACUCCAGAGAGAAAUGAUGCCGGGUAACGCCCGGCCAGGGUAACUUGAGGGAAAGCGCCACAGAAAAAAUACCGCUCAGUUUUAAGAGUAAGGGUGAAAAGGUAAGGUAAGAGCUUACCGCCAAUGUAGUAAUAUAUUGGGCACGGCAAGCCCCGUCAGGAGCAAAAUCAAAUAGGAACUGCGUGGAAUCUUCCGAAGCACUCCACUUCAGCAGUUCGGGUAGAUUGCUUGAGCUUAAAGGUAACGAUAAGCCUAGAUGAAUAGUCACCGUGAUAUCCAAUUAUGAAUAUCAUUACAGAAUCCGGCUUACAGACCAUCCGCGUUA